UUAUCCGGAUUUAUUGGGUUUAAAGGGAGCGUAGGCGGACGCUUAAGUCAGUUGUGAAAGUUUGCGGCUCAACCGUAAAAUUGCAGUUGAUACUGGGUGUCUUGAGUACAGUAGAGGCAGGCGGAAUUCGUGGUGUAGCGGUGAAAUGCUUAGAUAUCACGAAGAACUCCGAUUGCGAAGGCAGCUUGCUGGACUGUAACUGACGCUGAUGCUCGAAAGUGUGGGUAUCAAACUGGAUUAGAUACCCUGGUAGUCCACACAGUAAACGAUGAAUACUCGCUGUUUGCGAUAUACAGUAAGCGGCCAAGCGAAAGCGUUAAGUAUUCCACCUGGGGAGUACGCCGGCAACGGUGAAACU
rnacentral:rRNA from 1 species